GCUUCCUGCAACUGAAGGUCAUUCCUCUUUGUUAGAAGACUAAGGGUCCCUGACCUGAUCUGUGGAGCACCAGGGUGGAGAGAGUGGAAUAAGCAGCAAAACGAAAAAUUGGAUGCUGUUUUCAAAAGUUUUGUUCUCAUUCUUGGAUUAUAGAUUAUCUAAAGGGAAAAUUUAACUCAACCAAAAAAUUCGUUCAGCUCCAUGAAGCUAAAGAUGCUAUAAACUGACUCUUUCCUAAAGAGCACCAAACCUGAAAUUUUUCCUGCUAGAGAGGAACUAAUCUUCAAGGACACCUGUCUAUUGCUAGACAUUAAGAAGGAAGGUGAACUCCGUUCUGUCUUCAUAAAACACAUUUUUGUCUUUCCCCCUCACUCCUCCACUGAACCCACUAUGUUUACAAGUACAAGCUAUGACUGUGGAGGUGGAAAAUCUGAUACUGUCAGCACAAGUGGAACAAAAUGAAAAGAGAAAAAAAUCUACACACCCAUCUGGACUUCCAUAUGCUCUGUAGCCCAGAGGCUAAUAUAAUUCCUUGAAUGUUGGUUAUAAAGCAAUGUGAUAUGGAUGACUGCUAUGCACUGAG
rnacentral:lncRNA from 1 species